CCACCCUGAUCUACUUCUUCAUGUGCUUCGAGCAGUUGUCAGUAAGCCCUAGGCAGAUUGUGCUCUUUCUUGUGAUCUUCAAGCCUAUGAAGCGCAAGCUCGACAGCCUCACUUGUAUCGUGGCAGAGUGCGUCUUGUUUGUCGUAGUUGCUUACC
rnacentral:sRNA from 1 species